GGGAGCAUAGCUCAGCUGGUUAGAGCACCUGCCUUACAAGCAGGGGGUCACAGGUUCGAACCCUGUUGUUCCCACCA
rnacentral:tRNA from 1 species